GGGGCUGUGGCUCAGAGGUAGAGUGCUCGUCUACCGUGCGUGAAGCACUGGGUUCGAUCCUCAGCACCA
rnacentral:tRNA from 1 species